AUUGAACGCUGGCGGCAGGCCUAACACAUGCAAGUCGAACGGUAACAGGAAGAAGCUUGCUUCUUUGCUGACGAGUGGCGGACGGGUGAGUAAUGUCUGGGAAACUGCCUGAUGGAGGGGGAUAACUACUGGAAACGGUAGCUAAUACCGCAUAACGUCGCAAGACCAAGAGGGGGACCUUCGGGCCUCUUUCCAUCGGAUGUGCCCAGAUGGGAUUAGCUAGUAGGUGGGGUAACGGCUCACCUAGGCGACGAUCCCUAGCUGGUCUGAGAGGAUGACCAGCCACACUGGAACUGAGACACGGUCCAGACUCCUACGGGAGGCAGCAGUGGGGAAUAUUGCGCAAUGGGCGCAAGCCUGAUGCAGCCAUGCCGCGUGUAUGAAGAAGGCCUUCGGGUUGUAAAGUACUUUCAGCGGGGAGGAAGGGAGUAAAGUUAAUACCUUUGCUCAUUGACGUUACCCGCAGAAGAAGCACCGGCUAACUCCGUG
rnacentral:rRNA from 1 species